GACGAACGCUGGCGGCGUGCUUAACACAUGCAAGUCGAGCGGGUAAGGCCCUUUCGGGGGUACACGAGCGGCGAACGGGUGAGUAACACGUGGGUGACCUGCCCUCAGCUCUGGGGAUAAGCCUGGGAAACUGGGUCUAAUACUGGAUAUGACUCCACGGUGCGAUGUCGUGGGGUGGAAAGCCUUGUGCGGCUGAGGAUGGGCCCGCGGCCUAUCAGCUUGUUGGUGGGGUGANGGCCUACCAAGGCGACGACGGGUAGCCGGCCUGAGAGGGCGACCGGCCACACUGGGACUGAGACACGGCCCA
rnacentral:rRNA from 1 species